rnacentral:antisense_RNA from 1 species
UGUGGGAGCUGGCUUGCCUGCGAUGACUGUCUGUCAGCUAACACUUCUGUAACUGAAAGACUGCUAUCGCAGGCAAGCCAGCUCCCACA